GCCAGACUCCUACGGGAGGCAGCAGUGAGGAAUAUUGGUCAAUGGUCGGGAGACUGAACCAGCCAAGCCGCGUGAGGGAGGAAGGUACAGAGUAUCGUAAACCUCUUUUGUCAGGGAACAAAGACUGGGACGCGUCCCCGGAUGAGUGUACCUGAAGAAAAAGCAUCGGCUAACUCCGUGCCAGCAGCCGCGGUAAUACGGAGGAUGCGAGCGUUAUCCGGAUUUAUUGGGUUUAAAGGGUGCGUAGGCGGAAUGCCAAGUCAGCGGUAAAAUCGCGGGGCUCAACCUCGCUCCGCCGUUGAAACUGGCGUUCUUGAGUGGGCGAGAAGUAUGCGGAAUGCGUGGUGUAGCGGUGAAAUGCAUAGAUAUCACGCAGAACUCCGAUUGCGAAGGCAGCAUACCGGCGCUCAACUGACGCUCAUGCACGAAAGCGUGGGUAUCGAACAGGAUUAGAUACCCUCGUAU
rnacentral:rRNA from 1 species